CCUCCCAACCCUCACUCACUCCAGGUCAACAACGGCGCAGCAGCAACAGCACACACUCUCUCCCUCGUCCCUCCCAUCACCCUCGAGGUGGUCGUUCCUCUCAACGCCGGCGAGCUCAGUCCCUCCCUUUCGUUCAGCCGCCUGACUGACCUUGACGCCAUCGCAAGUUGGAGCUUCGAAGCUCACUCGGUCCCUCACUCCUGCUCGUGCAGCUAACACCUCAGACUCUCAGCAGUGGAAGCACAGUCGCCGGGCUCGCCUCCUGCCUCCAUCGCGAAGCUCUCUCCCACCGUCACCGGCGCCACCUCUGUUCCUCCGUCGCAAGCUCUGUUCCUGCCUCCGUCGCCAGCUCUGUUCUAUGCUUCGUUGCUUCUAGCUUCUAGUAAAGCACAGUUGCCGGGAUCGCCUCCUGCCUCAGUCGCGAACUCUGUUCCACCGUCGCCGACGCCAUCUCUGUUCCACUGGCCAGCGCUACUGCCCCUGGAUCUGCUCUGCUCUGUUCUGUUCUGUUCUAUACUUCUAGCUUCUAGGUUGAACCACAGUCGAACUGGUUGAUUCAAUAAACCAUUGAACCAGUAGCUAGAGCGGUUUAAUGACCGGGCUAUAAAUUUGCACAGCAAAAAAAGAUACGUAUAUAAAGUAUGAAUUGCUCUUCCAUCAAAACCCUCUUUCCUGUUGCCUCUUCUUAGCCGCCAUUCCCUUCUCUUUAAUGAAGAGAUAGCAGCUGCAGCAGCACUUCUUUACUCUCUCCAAACGACAACAACGAACUCCGUUUUGUUUGGAUCGCGUUUUGCGUUUUGCGUUCUGCCCCUUUUUUUAAACUCUCUGCUUAAUGGGAAGGGUUAGUGGAACCGAGAAGCAAGAGUUUAGAGAGAUGGAGGACACUGAAUUCACUGAUUCUCAGCUAAUUUGUCAUGUUAGAGAUGCACUUUUAGCAGUCACUUUGGGUGACAGAGAGAAUUAUGAUGAGCUUGUUGGUUAUUUGCACCGGAAAGAGAGUCUUAAUCCCGAUCAGAUUGCUCUACUUGAGACAACUUUGAAGGCACUCUCUGGAACAGUCUCAUGCAUAGAUUCUGUUCAUCACGAAUCUCUUCUUUCUGCAGUAAGUUCUUUUUCACAUUGGACUUGUUGCUUGUGUUUAUGUUUAUGUUGUGCUUGAAGUGUUGAACUUG